AUUUUGAGAAGGACUGCAGAGAGGCGUUCACAUAUGCACUGCUUUUCCCGUGCCACUGCAAUGUCACCUUGCUUGGCUACCAGCCCUUGGGAAAAGAUCAAGUGAUGUCACUUGAAGCUGCUGAAGCCAUGAGUCAGUGCCACCACUGGCUGACGACCGUUAAGAUAGAUCGGUGUUCAGAGCUUGAGGCAUUGCCAAGAGAACAUGGAUCACAUCCCGACGUACGACUGGAAGGGGAAAAUGAGGAAUCAUUACAGCCAGAUGCAUGCUUUCACCCUGCCCCACGGACAGAGGAAAGAUGCCUUCCUGGACCUUACAGUCCCAUCUCCAGUGACGUUGUUGUGUGUCAGAGAGCCCUUCCUUUCCAUGAGCUGUUCUGCAAGAUACAGUUCAACAUCCUGUUGAAUCUAGAGGAAAGAAAUCUUGAGAAACAGGGAAGUGCGUUGCCAGAAAAAAAGCGAAUGCCAGAUGGCCUGAACUCUCACUGAACCACAGAUCAGGGCGGCCCUGUGUAUCCUAGCAAACUCAAAAUAGCAAGAAAUAUGCCAAAACUGAGUUUCUAAAUGUAUUCAGAUUGAUUUCAUCUACACAAUCUUUGUUUCAUAUGUGGGCAGUCAAGAUUUGUCCACAUCCUUGGGACUUACAGUAGACUUUGCAAUGGGUUAACUCUAGAUAGGCUUUUCCCCUAUAAAGAUUGGGUGCAGGAACACUUACCUUUCCUUUCUUAUCAUUUCUGGGGCAUAAAAUAAUCUCAUGUGCCAUAGAUACCUUUUUCCUUCUUUCCUUUUUUAAGUACAUGUUGUAACCAGUGGUGCACAAAUGACUCCUUGGUUAGAUAAGACAUUAUGUUUUUAUCCUUGGACUAUGUCCCCAGGCUUUCAAUAAUGCCAGCAUCAGCUAAGUUAGCAUCUGAUUAGUCUUUCUUACCUCUUACUCAAUGUCAUUCUUGAUUAUGCCUACUAAUUUGGCACAUCUUUUUGAACUGAGCUACGGGCACAAUCCUGCCUGAUUCUCAGCACUCUGCUACCAUUGCAGCCAAAGGAGGAGACUCAGAUUUCCACAGAUCCAGUGGGCUUUGUAUGGGUUACUUACCACUAAAAUAGUCAUAUAUGCAUUUGCCAUGCUUUUGGGCAUCCAAGACAUAGAGAGAGGAAUGUUGGGGCUCCUACCCUGAUAUCAACAGUUUAGAUAUGCUUCAAUGUCCUCAAUUUCUCAGUACAAAGAUACAGAGUUAAGGCUCUUUUCCAAAGAAAGCUUGGCAGUGAGGAUGUGCUUGAGCACUCUUUGUUCUGGCAACAAGAAAAGGGCACUGGGAAAGAGAAAAGGUUAUAGUGCAAAAUUCACAGUUUGGGACCAGACUCUCAAUGUCACAGCCAUGCUGAUAAUUAGGGCUGACUUUGUUAUGGAAGGUGGUGCUGGAGUGAUUGAAGGCCACUUUUCUAUCCAUUACAAACAGAUGUCAGCACCCUGUUCCAAACCACACCACCAGCCCUGAAGAAUACUGAAACUUUGUUGAGGGGUGAGCAGUUUCUUCUUUUUCCUCUCCUCAUUUUCUUGCUUCAUUUUCUGAGUUACAGCUGCACUUCAACUGCUAUCAUUACGAGGCCAGGACUGAGUUUAAUUGUAUUAUAUACACUGCAGCAAGGACAGAGGGCAAGCCCUAGCAAACACAUGGUCACUGUGAGACAAGACAAUUAUUCCUAGGCAUAAAGUCAGAUGCUUUUGGGAGAGCUUAUUAGACAAGAUGAACUACAGAAAAAAUAAGAAAUCCUUGACUAAUGAGGUAAGAAUACAAACUAACAAGAACACUCUGUCAGAAGCAGCAUUUCUCUGGCAAGGCAAGCAGUGGGAGAUGUUUGUAGGCUUUUGGCUCAAAAGUUUGAGAGUUUUCUGCCUUUGCUCUUAGAAACAAAUUGAAAACCAUUAUCACUAAUUUCUUCACUCAAAAAGUGGCAAUAAAUACAUUCUCUCCUCCCCUUGCAA